UAAGUAAUACAUUGAAGAACAGUAGAGAAAAAUGGCUCAUAAUGGGAGACAAUAUUGCUUAGUUGGUAAAGAAAUGGGUUGGAGUCAUACAGACUUGGGUGCUAGACUAGUUCCACCACCUGCAGGUUGGAGAAAUUACUUAAUUUCUUCAAUAUCCCAUUUCUUCAUCUCUUAAAUGGGAAUAAUAAUAUCUACUUGUUGUGAGGUUCUUGUAAGGGUUACAUUAGAUAAUAUACCUAAAGCACUUAGCAUGUGAUCUGGAGCAUAGUGAAUAUUUAACAAACUUUUUAUCAUUGUUGUUCCAGGCAGACAUUGAGUUUUCACAAGCUGGUGGAGAGGUUUCUGAAUAUCACAGUAACUAGUUAGAAACACCUGAUUUCUCUUCUCCCACCUUCUCAUUUAAAUAAUCUUGAAGAAUAUGGAAAACGAGAACAUUCAGCAACAAUCUGCUCUACUUGAGAAGGACUUGCACAAGAGAUAACAUAAAUUUUCCGGAAAAAGUAACCUAAAUUGAUUCCAUGUGAGUAGAAAACCUGAAUAGUUCAGUAACCAUGGAGGAAUUCCCCUUACCUCCCAAAUGACUCUACGUGCAGAUAGUAAGAAAAGAACCUUCUGCAUCACUUCCCACUCGAAGAUUUGCUCACUCCUGGAACAGAAUUUUCUUUGGACGGCUGUCCUGGCAAUGGUGACUUAUUCCCCUACUCCACCCACCACUGGUCUUUGUCGCAAGCCUGAGAAAAUGUAGCUGUGCACCUGGGAGUCUGCAGCCAGGACCAGGUAACUGCCUCUAGUUACUUUCUUCUAAAAGGGGUUUACUACUUACAAUGCUUCUUGGAUUGCUCAUGCUUUUAUUUUGCAUUACUAUUUAUGAAAACCUUUGGGCCACAUGUAUAUUGGAUUUAUCCAAGGACUCACAACUUGGCUGUGAAGAGUGAAGAAUGGAAUCUCAACUCACUAUCAACAAUCUCAUAGUUUAUUUUGGUCAGUGUAGCUUUACCACUUUCAAACCACUAGGUUCCAUUUAAAGAUCUGUCUUACUUGAAGCACAUACUUUUAAUAUCAUUCUUUUAAUAUCUUUUAAUAGAGCAUAUUCUUUUAAUAUCUAUUUAAGUAUUUGAUUAAUUAUAAUAAUGAAAGGAUUUUCUAGUUUAGAUAUCUUAUUCAUUUUCUUAGAACCCUAACCAAUAAAAUAAAUCUGGAG
rnacentral:lncRNA from 1 species